rnacentral:rRNA from 1 species
AUUGAACGCUGGCAGCAGGCCUAACACAUGCAAGUCGAACGGUAACAGGAAGAAGCUUGCUUCUUGCUUACGAGGUGCCGACGGGGGAGGAAAUUUCGGGAAACUGGCUUGUUGAAGGGGAUAACUUCUUGAAACGGUAGGCAAUUCCGCCUUACCUUCCCAAACCCAAGGGGGGGGACUUCCGGCCCCUUGCCCUCCGAUGUUGCCCGAUGGGAUUAGCUAGUAGGUGGGGUAACGGCCCACCUAGGCGACGAUCCCUAGCUGGUCUGAGAGGAUGACCAGCCACACUGGAACUGAGACACGGUCCAGACUCCUACGGGAGGCAGCAGUGGGGAAUAUUGCACAAUGGGCGCAAGCCUGAUGCAGCCAUGCCGCGUGUAUGAAGAAGGCCUUCGGGUUGUAAAGUACUUUCAGCGGGGAGGAAGGGAGUAAAGUUAAUACCUUUGCUCAUUGACGUUACCCGCAGAAGAAGCACCGGCUAACUCCGUG